UGCCUGUAAGCGGGGAAUAACCCGUUGAAAGACGGACUAAUACCGCAUAAUACUAAAUUACUGCAUUGGUAAAUUUUAUUUUAAACAUUUUAUGGCUUUACAGAUGGGCAUGCGCAUGAUUAGCUAGUUGGAGAGGUAACGGCUCCCCAAGGCAACGAUCAUUAGGGGUUCUGAGAGGAAGGUCCCCCACACUGGUACUGAGACACGGACCAGACUCCUACGGGAGGCAGCAGUGAGGAAUAUUGGUCAAUGGACGAGAGUCUGAACCAGCCAAGUCGCGUGCAGGAAGAAUGUCCUAUGGGAUUGUAAACUGCUUUUGCAGGGGAAUAAAGUGCAUCACGUGUGAUGUUUUGUAUGUACUCUGCGAAUAAGGAUCGGCUAACUCCGUGCCAGCAGCUGC
rnacentral:rRNA from 1 species